GUGAGGAAUAUUGGUCAAUGGGCGGGAGCCUGAACCAGCCAAGUCGCGUGAAGGAAGAAGGAUCUAUGGUUCGUAAACUUCUUUUGCAGGGGAAUAAAGUGCAGGACGUGUCCUGUUUUGUAUGUACCCUGAGAAUAAGGAUCGGCUAACUCCGUGCCAGCAGCCGCGGUAAUACGGAGGAUCCGAGCGUUAUCCGGAUUUAUUGGGUUUAAAGGGUGCGUAGGUGGUUUGAUAAGUCAGCGGUGAAAGUUUGCAGCUUAACUGUAAAAAUGCCGUUGAAACUGUCGGACUUGAGUGUAAAUGAGGUAGGCGGAAUGCGUGGUGUAGCGGUGAAAUGCAUAGAUAUCACGCAGAACUACGAUUGCGAAGGCAGCUUACUAAGCUACAACUGACACUGAAGCACGAAAGCGUGGGGAUCAAACAGGAUUAGAAACCCUGGUAGUCC
rnacentral:rRNA from 1 species